GGGGUCUAUUCAUUUGUGAAUAAGUGCUGUCCAGAAGUGUUGCUUGUCACCUGAUCCUGGAUCCUCGCGCCUUGGGGCUUCUGGCCUUUGUCAUCUUCCUCCUCCUCCUGAGCCUGAUCAUCACAGCAGCAACUCAGGGCGGGUAUGGCAAAAACUGCAUGGCCUCAUGGAAGACAUUACGGCUCCUGAGUCAGUACGGCUUCCUUAAUGUUCCUCAGGAUGACAGCAGCUGGAACGAGCAGGGUAGCAGGAUCAGCGGAAAAGGCUCGGGUGCUAUUGCGAACCCAAACCUGAGCCCAGCGGGACAGUGACACAAGCUGUCCAUCACUCCUGUCCCGCCUCCCAGACCAAAUUCUCGCAAAUAUAUACACAGAAUUUCAAUCUUAAAUUUAAUUGUUGAAUUUGACAACA